CUAAAGGCUUAACACAUGCAAGUUCGUAGGGGCAGCAUUUUUAGUUUUGCUUCGCAAACCGAAAGUUGGCGACCGGCGCACGGGUGAGUAACACGUAUCCAACCUGCCGAUAACUCCGGGAUAGCCUUUCGAAAGAAAGAUUAAUACCGGAUAGUAUACGAAUAUCGCAUGAUAUUUUUAUUAAAGAAUUUCGGUUAUCGAUGGGGAUGCGUUCCAUUAGUUUGUUGGCGGGGUAACGGCCCACCAAGACUACGAUGGAUAGGGGUUCUGAGAGGAAGGUCCCCCACAUUGGAACUGAGACACGGUCCAAACUCCUACGGGAGGCAGCAGUGAGGAAUAUUGGUCAAUGGGCGCGAGCCUGAACCAGCCAAGUAGCGUGAAGGAUGAAGGCUCUAUGGGUCGUAAACUUCUUUUAUAUGGGAAUAAAGUUUUCCACGUGUGGAAUUUUGUAUGUACCAUAUGAAUAAGGAUCGGCUAACUCCGUGCCAGCAGCCGCGGUAAUACGGAGGAUCCGAGCGUUAUCCGGAUUUAUUGGGUUUAAAGGGAGCGUAGGUGGAUUGUUAAGUCAGUUGUGAAAGUUUGCGGCUCAACCGUAAAAUUGCAGUUGAAACUGGCAGUCUUGAGUACAGUAGAGGUGGGCGGAAUUCGUGGUGUAGCGGUGAAAUGCUUAGAUAUCACGAAGAACUCCGAUUGCGAAGGCAGCUCACUAGACUGUCACUGACACUGAUGCUCGAAAGUGUGGGUAUCAAACAGGAUUAGAUACCCUGGUAGUCCACACAGUAAACGAUGAAUACUCGCUGUUUGCGAUAUACAGUAAGCGGCCAAGCGAAAGCAUUAAGUAUUCCACCUGGGGAGUACGCCGGCAACGGUGAAACUCAAAGGAAUUGACGGGGGCCCGCACAAGCGGAGGAACAUGUGGUUUAAUUCGAUGAUACGCGAGGAACCUUACCCGGGCUUAAAUUGCAUUUGAAUAUAUUGGAAACAGUAUAGCCGUAAGGCAAAUGUGAAGGUGCUGCAUGGUUGUCGUCAGCUCGUGCCGUGAGGUGUCGGCUUAAGUGCCAUAACGAGCGCAACCCUUAUCUUUAGUUACUAACAGGUCAUGCUGAGGACUCUAGAGAGACUGCCGUCGUAAGAUGUGAGGAAGGUGGGGAUGACGUCAAAUCAGCACGGCCCUUACGUCCGGGGCUACACACGUGUUACAAUGGGGGGUACAGAAGGCAGCUACCUGGUGACAGGAUGCUAAUCCCAAAAGCCUCUCUCAGUUCGGAUCGAAGUCUGCAACCCGACUUCGUGAAGCUGGAUUCGCUAGUAAUCGCGCAUCAGCCAUGGCGCGGUGAAUACGUUCCCGGGCCU
rnacentral:rRNA from 1 species